rnacentral:misc_RNA from 1 species
GAAGUGCGAUAAGCAAUGCGAAUUGCAGAAUUCCGCGAAUCAUCAGAUCUUUGAACGCAAAUGGCGCCAGAGGGAUAUCCUUUUGGCAUGUCUGUUUCAGUGUCUGAGAGGUUUCACCUUUAUCUUAAUGUGAUUGACUCGUGUUUUUGAGUAUACUCUACUCGAUUUCACAGUCUCUCAUGAAAGAUGCGCGAGUGGAUCUUUCGGUCCAAUGAAGUGGUCACAUCACUCGUAUGUGAUUUCAUUUGAAGCACCGAAUUAUCCGCAAUGCUCGCGGUUCCUGUAUAAUGGCAUUCUCUCACGAGAUGUGUUGUUAUUACUAACUCUCUACACCCUGCAUCUGAGACAGGCAAGAUCACCCGCUGAACUUAAGC